UCAGCUCUUCAUAUAAAUUUGCAGCAAUGAAAAUUAUAAUAUACAUAUUUUUAUUAGUUGCCAUUUUUACGGUUUUCGAAGUAAUAGCUAAUCCAUUAACUAAGGCGAACACUGAAUCGCUUUCACCAUCUAAGAAAAGUAUAUUUACUUUAUUAUUCUCUUUCUUUCUUGAUGCGGUAGAGAUCAUUUGGGACAUUUCUUACAUUUUCGUGGAGUAUGUGUACUUUUUUACUCUCUUUCCUUCUUGAUCCAGUAGGAACAUUACUUAGGAUAUUCCUCGUAUCAUCAAGAUAUAUUUUUACUUUUCUACUCUCUCUCUUUAUUCAUCCGCUAAGAAUAUUACGUAGGAUAUUGCAUAGAAUCUUGAUAAAUAUUCUUAAUUAUAUUAUUAUUUCCUUAUUUAAAUAUAUUAUGAAUUCCGGUUUGAUUCCUGCUCCGCUUGCGGCAUUACUUGCACUAGAAGGAUUAUAAUAUUUAAAAUUAAAAUGCAUUCAAGAUGAGCCACAGCAUAAAAAAGUUUAAGUGAUUGUGGAAUAAUAAUAAUAAGUGCCACAAUAUGUAUUUGGCCACAAUAUAUAUAUAUAUUAGAAUUUUUGAGAAUAAAAAUAUUAUCUAUGAUAUUAUAAAAAAUACAAAGUAAUAUUCUUGAUAUCAAAAUUGUGUAAUAUGCAAUUACAUGUUUAUAUUUUAUAAUUAUAUAUCAAAAUAUAUUUAUAUUUAUAUAUAUUUUGUAUUAAUAAACAUGCUAUGUAAAUGU